rnacentral:rRNA from 1 species
ACUCUGAUGCAUCGAUGCCGCGUGAGUGAAGAAGGCCUUUGGGUUGUAAAGCUCUUUUGUAGGGGAAGAUAAUGACUGUACCCUAAGAAUAAGGUCCGGCUAACUUCGUGCCAGCAGCCGCGGUAAUACGAAGGGACCUAGCGUAGUUCGGAAUUACUGGGCGUAAAGCGCGCGUAGGCCGUUGAGUUAGUUAAUUGUGAAAUCCCAAAGCUUAACUUUGGAACUGCAAUUAAAACUGCUCGACUAGAGUUUGAUAGAGGAAAGCGGAAUACAUAGUGUAGAGGUGAAAUUCGUAGAUAUUAUGUAGAACACCAGUUGCGAAGGCGGCUUUCUAGGUCAACACUGACGCUGAGGCGCGAAAGUAUGGGUAGCAAAGAGGAUUAGAUACCCUCGUAGUCCAUACCAUAAACGAUGAUUGCUAGAUGUUGGAAAUUUAUUUUCAGUAUCGCAGCUAACGCAUUAAGCAAUCCGCCUGGGGAGUACGACCGCAAGGUUAAAACUCAAAUGAAUUGACGGGGACCCGCACAAGCGGUGGAGCAUGUGGUUUAAUUCGAAGAUACGCGCAGAACCUUACCAACCCUUGACAUGUCUGUCGCGAGUUUAGGAAACUAGACUUUUCGGUUCUGGCGGACAGACACAGGUGCUGCAUGGCUGUCGUCAGCUCGUGG